UUAGACGUACUUGUACUGAUUGAGAUUUUAACACGAAGUGAGUGGCGAACGGGUGAGUAACACGUGGGUAACCUGCCCAGAAGUAGGGGAUAACACCUGGAAACAGAUGCUAAUACCGUAUAACAGAGAAAACCGCAUGGUUUUCUUUUAAAAGAUGGCUCUGCUAUCACUUCUGGAUGGACCCGCGGCGUAUUAGCUAGUUGGUGAGGUAAAGGCUCACCAAGGCAGUGAUACGUAGCCGACCUGAGAGGGUAAUCGGCCACAUUGGGACUGAGACACGGCCCAGACUCCUACGGGAGGCAGCAGUAGGGAAUCUUCCACAAUGGACGCAAGUCUGAUGGAGCAACGCCGCGUGAGUGAAGAAGGGUUUCGGCUCGUAAAGCUCUGUUGUUAAAGAAGAACGUGGGUAAGAGUAACUGUUUACCCAGUGACGGUAUUUAACCAGAAAGCCACGGCUAACUACGUGCCAGCAGCCGCGGUAAUACGUAGGUGGCAAGCGUUAUCCGGAUUUAUUGGGCGUAAAGCGAGCGCAGGCGGUCUUUUAAGUCUAAUGUGAAAGCCUUCGGCUCAACCGAAGAAGUGCAUUGGAAACUGGGAGACUUGAGUGCAGAAGAGGACAGUGGAACUCCAUGUGUAGCGGUGAAAUGCGUAGAUAUAUGGAAGAACACCAGUGGCGAAGGCGGCUGUCUGGUCUGCAACUGACGCUGAGGCUCGAAAGCAUGGGUAGCGAACAGGAUUAGAUACCCUGGUAGUCCAUGCCGUAAACGAUGAUUACUAAGUGUUGGAGGGUUUCCGCCCUUCAGUGCUGCAGCUAACGCAUUAAGUAAUCCGCCUGGGGAGUACGACCGCAAGGUUGAAACUCAAAAGAAUUGACGGGGGCCCGCACAAGCGGUGGAGCAUGUGGUUUAAUUCGAAGCUACGCGAAGAACCUUACCAGGUCUUGACAUCUUCUGACAGUCUAAGAGAUUAGAGGUUCCCUUCGGGGACAGAAUGACAGGUGGUGCAUGGUUGUCGUCAGCUCGUGUCGUGAGAUGUUGGGUUAAGUCCCGCAACGAGCGCAACCCUUAUUACUAGUUGCCAGCAUUAAGUUGGGC
rnacentral:rRNA from 1 species